rnacentral:rRNA from 1 species
UCAGAAGUGCGAAUGCUGACAUAAGUAACGAUAAAGCGGGUGAAAAGCCCGCUCGCCGGAAGACCAAGGGUUCCUGUCCAACGUUAAUCGGGGCAGGGUGAGUCGACCCCUAAGGCGAGGCCGAAAGGCGUAGUCGAUGGGAAACAGGUUAAUAUUCCUGUACUUGGUGUUACUGCGAAGGGGGGACGGAGAAGGCUAUGUUGGCCGGGCGACGGUUGUCCCGGUUUAAGCGUGUAGGCUGGUUUUCCAGGCAAAUCCGGAAAAUCAAGGCUGAGGCGUGAUGACGAGGCACUACGGUGCUGAAGCAACAAAUGCCCUGCUUCCAGGAAAAGCCUCUAAGCAUCAGGUAACAUCAAAUCGUACCCCAAACCGACACAGGUGGUCAGGUAGAGAAUACCAAGGCGCUUGAGAGAACUCGGGUGAAGGAACUAGGCAAAAUGGUGCCGUAACUUCGGGAGAAGGCACGCUGAUAUGUAGGUGAAGUCCCUCGCGGAUGGAGCUGAAAUCAGUCGAAGAUACCAGCUGGCUGCAACUGUUUAUUAAAAACACAGCACUGUGCAAACACGAAAGUGGACGUAUACGGUGUGACGCCUGCCCGGUGCCGGAAGGUUAAUUGAUGGGGUCAGCGCAAGCGAAGCUCUUGAUCGAAGCCCCGGUAAACGGCGGCCGUAACUAUAACGGUCCUAAGGUAGCGAAAUUCCUUGUCGGGUAAGUUCCGACCUGCACGAAUGGCGUAAUGAUGGCCAGGCUGUCUCCACCCGAGACUCAGUGAAAUUGAACUCGCUGUGAAGAUGCAGUGUACCCGCGGCAAGACGGAAAGACCCCGUGAACCUUUACUAUAGCUUGACACUGAACAUUGAGCCUUGAUGUGUAGGAUAGGUGGGAGGCUUUGAAGUGUGGACGCCAGUCUGCAUGGAGCCGACCUUGAAAUACCACCCUUUAAUGUUUGAUGUUCUAACGUGGACCCGUGAUCCGGGUUGCGGACAGUGUCUGGUGGGUAGUUUGACUGGGGCGGUCUCCUCCUAAAGAGUAACGGAGGAGCACGAAGGUUGGCUAAUCCUGGUCGGACAUCAGGAGGUUAGUGCAAUGGCAUAAGCCAGCUUGACUGCGAGCGUGACGGCGCGAGCAGGUGCGAAAGCAGGUCAUAGUGAUCCGGUGGUUCUGAAUGGAAGGGCCAUCGCUCAACGGAUAAAAGGUACUCCGGGGAUAACAGGCUGAUACCGCCCAAGAGUUCAUAUCGACGGCGGUGUUUGGCACCUCGAUGUCGGCUCAUCACAUCCUGGGGCUGAAGUAGGUCCCAAGGGUAUGGCUGUUCGCCAUUUAAAGUGGUACGCGAGCUGGGUUUAGAACGUCGUGAGACAGUUCGGUCCCUAUCUGCCGUGGGCGCUGGAGAACUGAGGGGGGCUGCUCCUAGUACGAGAGGACCGGAGUGGACGCAUCACUGGUGUUCGGGUUGUCAUGCCAAUGGCACUGCCCGGUAGCUAAAUGCGGAAGAGAUAAGUGCUGAAAGCAUCUAAGCACGAAACUUGCCCCGAGAUGAGUUCUCCCUGACCCUUUAAGGGUCCUGAAGGAACGUUGAAGACGACGACGUUGAUAGGCCGGGUGUGUAAGCGCAGCGAUGCGUUGAGCUAACCGGUACUAAUGAACCGUGAGGCUUAACCUU